UACGGAGGGUGCGAGCGUUGUCCGGAAUUAUUGGGCGUAAAGAGCUCGUAGGCGGUCUGUUGCGUCUGCUGUGAAAACUCGGGGCUUAACCCCGAGCCUGCAGUGGAUACGGGCAGACUAGAGGUAGGUAGGGGAGAAUGGAAUUCCCGGUGUAGCGGUGGAAUGCGCAGAUAUCAGGAGGAACACCGAUGGCGAAGGCAGGUCUCUGGGCCAUUACUGACACUGAGAAGCGAAAGCAUGGGGAGCAAACAGG
rnacentral:rRNA from 1 species